AACCCCAAAUCAAAUCACAAAGUUCAUCUUCUUUCAAAAAAAAAUCUCUCUGUAGAAAACUCAAGGAAGAAGAAGAAGAGGAGGAGGAUCAAGCUAGUUCAACUCUCCAUUGUUCAAGCUUACCAGGCUUUAUAAUCAAGGGUUCAGUUCUGAAGGUGGUCCCCACUAUGGCUAAAGCUUGGUUUGAUUAUUCCUCCUAGCUUGUUGGUAAGUCCUCAUGAUUUGAGUACCGAUGUUUUGACUUAGUAGUUUCAUUAUAUUCUCGUAUUUCCUUUUCAAUAAGUUGUAUGGGAUGUUUCUCUAUUUUGAUUCAAGUAUUGUAAUAGAUGGCUAAUUGAGACAAGUUUAGACU